AACGAACGCUGGCGGCAUGCCUAACACAUGCAAGUCGAACGAGACCUUCGGGUCUAGUGGCGCACGGGUGCGUAACGCGUGGGAACCUGCCUUUAGGUUCGGAAUAACUCAGAGAAAUUUGAGCUAAUACCGGAUGAUGUCUUCGGACCAAAGAUUUAUCGCCUUUAGAUGGGCCCGCGUUGGAUUAGCUAGUUGGUGGGGUAAAGGCCUACCAAGGCGACGAUCCAUAGCUGGUCUGAGAGGAUGAUCAGCCACACUGGGUCUGAGACACGGCCCAGACUCCUACGGGAGGCAGCAGUGGGGAAUAUUGGACAAUGGGCGAAAGCCUGAUCCAGCAAUGCCGCGUGAGUGAUGAAGGCCUUAGGGUUGUAAAGCUCUUUUACCCGAGAUGAUAAUGACAGUAUCGGGAGAAUAAGCUCCGGCUAACUCCGUG
rnacentral:rRNA from 1 species